GGACUUGUAGCUCAGGUGGUUAGAGCGCACGCCUGAUAAGCGUGAGGUCGAUGGUUCGAGUCCAUCCAGGUCCACCA
rnacentral:tRNA from 1 species